rnacentral:misc_RNA from 1 species
UUCCGGAACAUCAUUUUAUGAACUCGGUUAUCUUAUUGUAGGAAGUGACAAGAUGGCGAAUGUUUAUGUAUAGUAGAAGUGUAGAGUUUCGAAGAAACACCAGCGCAGAUUUGGACAAGUUAAAUAUUCUUUAACAGCAUGGACGAUAUCACGGGCAGUUUGAUUAUAUGGUUGAAAACAUUUAAAGUGAAAGCUCCCCAUGAAACAGUUGAAGAACUUUCAAAUGGCGUGGCCAUGGCAGAAGUCUUAGCUCAGAUUGCACCUGACUAUUUUCAUCCUGCUUGGAUAUCCAAAAUAAAAACAGAUACAGGAAACAAUUGGAGAUUAAAGGUCAGCAAUUUGAAGAAAAUUUUGAAAGGUGUACUGGAUUAUUAUAGUGAGGUGUUGGGUCAACAAAUAACAGGCUUCCGCAUGCCAGAUGUAAAUGCUGUUGCAGAAUUAAGUGACCCUAAGGAUUUGGGACGUUUAUUACAAUUAAUUCUAGGUUGUGCAGUUAAUUGCGAUAAAAAACAAGAAUAUAUUGAAACUAUAAUGGGAUUGGAAGAAAGUGUUCAGCAUGUUGUAAUGAAUGCUAUUCAGGAGUUAAUGACUAAAGAAAUUCCUAGUACUUACUCAGCUGAAUCUAUUGCUGAUCUCAAUGAACAUUUAAAACGAGUAUUAGAAGAGUUACAGAUAGCCACAGAAGCUAAACAGCAAAUUACUCAGAGAUGUCAUGAGUUAGACAUGCAGGUUGCUAUAUUGCAAGAAGAAAAGGCUAGUUUACUUGCAGAAAAUGACAAAUUAUUAGAAAGAUUAAACCAUAUUGAAAGUUUAGAAGACCCAAGCACUUUAACAGGAAAAAGAUUUCAACAGAUGCAACAUAAAUUAGAAGUGAUGCAAGAUGAAUUAUAUAAGUUAGAAACAGCAAGAGAUGAAUAUAAAAUGAAAUCAGAAUUACAAGAGAAAGAAAUUCUUGAACUUAGUCAAAAGAAUGAUGAUUUGCAGAAACUAGCUGAAGAAGCUCGAAUUUUGAAAGAUGAAUUAGAUGUACUAAGGCAUACAUCUGAUAAAGUUGAAAAAUAUGAAACAACAAUUGAGUCUUUCAAGAAAAAAUUAGAGGAUUUAAGUGAUCUUAAACGUCAGGUAAAACUUCUGGAAGACAAAAAUACAUCUUAUGUACAACAGAACAUGGAAUUAGAAGAGGAGGUCAAAAGAGCUGGAAUGCUGAAAUCUCAGAUUGACAUGUACAAAAAACAACUUCAAGAACUCCAUUCAAAAUUUUCUGAAGAAAGUAGGAAAGCUGAUAAAGCAGAUUUUGAAAAUAAGAGACUUUCAGAAAAACUUGUAUCUAUACAACAAGAAAAGGAUAGAUUGAUUGCUGAGAGGGAUUCAUUGAAAGAAACAAUCGAAGAUCUUCGAUGCACACAAUUUAAAAAUGAAAGUGAAAUGCAUGGUGAUAAAAAUGGAAAACCAUCUAGUUUAUUAUCAGAAGCAGAACUUUUAGAAUCUGUUCCUCCAGAAAUUAAAGAAAAAUUAAUUCGUCUUCAACAUGAAAAUAAAAUUUUAAAACUUAAAUUGGAUAGCAAUGAUGAUCAGCAAGUUGCAGUUUUACAAAGUAUGUUGGAUGACUCAAGACUGAGGCAAAGUGAAUUGGAAACAGAAAACAGAUUAGCAAAUCAGAAGAUUUUAGAAUAUCAGAGUCAAAUUCAAGAUUUACAAGAAUCUCAUUCAGCUGUUAGUAGCCAAGAAGGGACGGAACUACGACACAAAUUGAAUAAUACAAUUAGAAAAUUGAAAGAAACAGAAAUGGAAUUACAAAAGAAAAAUAUCACUAUUGAAACAUUACAAAAUCAAAUUGAUAGUGCAGUUCAAAAAACUCAUCAGCUUCAAGAAUCUCUCAAUAAAAAAGAGGAAGAAAUGAGAGCAAUGGAAGAACGUUACAGAAAAUACUUGGAAAAAGCCAAAAAUGUAAUUAAGACUUUGGAUCCAAAAAAAAAUACAACUAGUGGUUCCGAAGUGAUUGCAUUAAAGAAUCAAUUGUUAGAAAAAGAGAAAGUUAUAGCAAAUCUAGAGAAAGAAGCAGAAAUGGCAAGAACAAUGAGAGAAAUGGAGGAAAGAUUAAUAACCACUGCAUUCUAUAAUUUGGGAGCUAACAAACAAAGAAAAGCAGCUGAAGAGCGACUAAUGCAAAAUACAUCAAGUCAGACCUUCUUAUCAAGACAAAGGCAAGCUACCUCUAGACGAUUAAAUUUACCUGGUGUUGCCACUAGUGAAUUCUUGGACUACUAACUUGCAUGCUGACAUCAGCAGUCAUUUUAUGUGAAGUGUUUAAAUGCCUGUGCAUGCCAUUAAAUUCUUCCUAAUCAUUCUUUGGUUGUCAGUAAAUAUUUUGUUAAUCUGGAACCGUUAUCGAUGAAUUUUCCGCAGUCUUCCUUUGAAGAAGCUGUAAAUAGUUUAAGGGGGAGUACAGAAUAUUUUGUAUACUAAUUGUGGGUAUACGCCAUUUUUUCUGCUUAUAAUGCUUGUAAAAUAUGUUUAUGCCCUGUAUGUAUAUACAGCAUAUUUUAUUUCUGUGGUGUAUACUUUGUUUAUAAAUCACUGUAACAAAGUCUCAAUAAAAUGAAGCAUAGGUUACUUUUUA